rnacentral:tRNA from 1 species
UCCCCGCUGGCGUAACUGGCAGCGCACCUGAUUCUGGAUCAGGAGAUUCGUGGUUCGAGCCCACGGUGGGGAGC